rnacentral:rRNA from 1 species
UACGAGUGCCCCCCAAGCGUUAUCCGGAAUCAUUGGGCGUAAAGGGUGUGUAGGUGGUUAUGUUAGUCUUUUGUUAAAAUACUCCGGGCUUAACUCGGAAACCGCGAAAGAAACGGCAUGACUAGAGGGUGCGAGGGGUCUGUGGAACUCAUGGAGUAGGGGUGAAAUCCGUUGAUAUCAUGGGGAACACCAAAAAGCGAAGGCAGCAGACUGGCGCAUUCCUGACACUGAGACACGAAAGCGUGGGUAGCGAAU